UCGAGCGGUAACAGGGGUAGCUUGCUACCCGCUGACGAGCGGCGGACGGGUGAGUAAUGCAUAGGAAUCUGCCCGAUAGUGGGGGAUAACCUGGGGAAACCCAGGCUAAUACCGCAUACGUCCUACGGGAGAAAGGGGGCUUCGGCUCCCGCUAUCGGAUGAGCCUAUGUCGGAUUAGCUAGUUGGUGAGGUAAAGGCUCACCAAGGCGACGAUCCGUAGCUGGUCUGAGAGGAUGAUCAGCCACAUCGGGACUGAGACACGGCCCGAACUCCUACGGGAGGCAGCAGUGGGGAAUAUUGGACAAUGGGGGGAACCCUGAUCCAGCCAUGCCGCGUGUGUGAAGAAGGCCCUCGGGUUGUAAAGCACUUUCAGUGAGGAAGAACGCCUGGUGGUUAAUACCCAUCAGGAAAGACAUCACUCACAGAAGAAGCACCGGCUAACUCCGUGCCAGCAGCCGCGGUAAUACGGAGGGUGCGAGCGUUAAUCGGAAUUACUGGGCGUAAAGCGCGCGUAGGUGGCUUGAUAAGCCGGUUGUGAAAGCCCCGGGCUCAACCUGGGAACGGCAUCCGGAACUGUCAAGCUAGAGUGCAGGAGAGGAAGGUAGAAUUCCCGGUGUAGCGGUGAAAUGCGUAGAGAUCGGGAGGAAUACCAGUGGCGAAGGCGGCCUUCUGGACUGACACUGACACUGAGGUGCGAAAGCGUGGGUAGCAAACAGGAUUAGAUACCCUGGUAGUCCACGCCGUAAACGAUGUCGACCAGCCGUUGGGUGCCUAGCGCACUUUGUGGCGAAGUUAACGCGAUAAGUCGAC
rnacentral:rRNA from 1 species